ACCAGAUAGAACUCGUCGGAAGGAGCGGGAGGACUCGGAGGUCCAAAGGGCGGACAUGGCGGCGGCGAAGGCGGCGUUGGAGAAGAUGAGGGCGUUCUGGGACUCACAGUGCAACAACGAGGAGAACUGGGCGGUCAACUAUGAGGACGUGAUGUUUUUGCACUCGAGCGCACAUGCGCUCGUUAUCUCCGCUGUUCGUUAUUGCCUCGCGAUACGAUGCAUUGAUGGUGUGGGGCCAUCCACCGGGCCAAAUAUGGAGUUAAUCGCGGGUUUGUCAUAACGGACGUUCUGACGGGAGGGCCAGGUGACGGCGGAAAGUAGGUUACCGUCAGCCCACCGGAGAAGAGCCGUGGCUCGGGAAGUCCAUCGCCGUCCUGAUCCAUGGAUCAGAAAUUUUGCUUUUCCGUUUGUCCACAGGGCAGCGAUAGUAAUUGCUAGGCGUAGUGGUUGGGCCGCUGAGCCGAUGCAGCCAAUCUGUUUUUCCCCAUUCGUAGAUCGCUGCACCUUUGAUCUGUUUUCCCCAUGGAGCAGCCGAGAUCUCAGAGAUGAAUUUCCUGAUGCAACUCAUAAAAAGCUUCGUCUUUGCGUGAUCAGGUUGACGGUGCUAGAGGAGGUUCACGACGAGAUGCAGGUGGAGGAGCGGACAGCGGAUGCCCGGAUCUGUGCUCGAGAAGAUGUGGUGCCGGUAGAAGAAGGAGGUUCACUCUAGGCCUCAAAGUUGUUUACCGGGAAGAUGAACCCGCAACCUCAAAGGCUGGACUAGAAGAGUAAGGGUUAGAGCCGCUGCACCAGGGAGGACUCCUUGCCCAAAUCGCACAUAGGCGUUGGAGAAAACAAUUAGGUGCUUUGCUGGGGAGAAUGUCUGUCGUGCCAGCUUCGGGGACAAGCUUCGACUCUUUUGGGGAAGCAUAUGAUUUCUACUCCCUUCGUUCCUAAAUAUUUGUCUUUCUAGACAUUUCAACAAGUGACUACAUACGGAGCAAAAUGAGUGAACCUACACUCUAAAAUAUGUCUACAUACAUCCGUAUGUGGUAGUCAUUUGAAAUGUCUAGAAAGACAAAUAUUUAGGAACGGAGGGAGUACAAGCCAAGAGAUGGUAUGUGGAUGUGCGGUAAGUUAACAUUUUCGUUUUGACUAUGAAAUGCAUCGGUUGGUUCGAAUUUAUUCAUGUAAAGGACUGAAGAAUUGACCACAUCAUUCUCAAAAAAAAAUUGACCACAUCA